CCUACGGGAGGCAGCAGUGAGGAAUAUUGGUCAAUGGACGAGAGUCUGAACCAGCCAAGUAGCGUGAAGGAUGACUGCCCUAUGGGUUGUAAACUUCUUUUAUAUGGGAAUAAAACGUUCCACGUGUGGGAUUUUGUAUGUACCAUAUGAAUAAGGAUCGGCUAACUCCGUGCCAGCAGCCGCGGUAAUACGGAGGAUCCGAGCGUUAUCCGGAUUUAUUGGGUUUAAAUGGAGCGUAGGUGGAUUGUUAAGUCAGUUGUGAAAGUUUGCGGCUCAACCGUAAAAUUGCAGUUGAAACUGGCAGUCUUGAGUACAGUAGAGGUGGGCGGAAUUCGUGGUGUAGCGGUGAAAUGCUUAGAUAUCACGAAGAACUCCGAUUGCGAAGGCAGUUCACUGGACUGCAACUGACACUGAGGCUCGAAAGUGUGGGUAUCAAACAGGAUUAGAUACCCCUGUAGUC
rnacentral:rRNA from 1 species